rnacentral:tRNA from 1 species
GCCUUCGUGGUAUAAUUGGAAUCACAUCCGGUUAGCAAUCAGAAGGUCUAGAGUUCGAAUCUCGGUGAAGGCA